rnacentral:rRNA from 1 species
GAUGAACGCUGGCGGCGUGCCUAAUACAUGCAAGUCGAGCGAACAGACGAGGAGCUUGCUCCGCUGACGUUAGCGGCGGACGGGAGAGUAACACGUGUAUAACGUACCUAUAAGACUGGGAUAACUUCGGGAAACCGGAGAUAAUACCGGAUAAGAUAUUGAACCGCAGGGGUGAAUAGUGAAAGACGGCGUUGCGGUCAGUAAUAGAGGGAUACGCGCCGGAUGAGCUAGUUGGUAAGGUAACGGCUUAUGAAGGGAACGAUGCGUGGCCGACCUGAGUGGGGGGUAGGCCACACUGGAGCGGAGCCACCGUCCAGACUCCUGCGGGAGGCAGCAGUAGGCAAUCUUCCGCAGUGGGCGAAAGCUUGGCGGAGCGACGCCGCGUGAGUGACGACGGUCUUCGGAUCGUAAAGCUCUGUUAUUAGGUAAGAACAACUGUGUAAGUAGCUGUGCACGGCUUGACGGUACCUAAUCAGAAAGCCCCGGCUAACUACGUG